GACGAACGCUGGCGGCGUGCUUAACACAUGCAAGUCGAACGGAAAGGCCCUGCUUUUGUGGGGUGCUCGAGUGGCGAGCGGGUGAGUAACACGUGAGUAACCUGCCCUUGACUUUGGGAUAACUUCAGGAAACUGGGGCUAAUACCGGAUAGGAGCUCCUGCUGCAUGGUGGGGGUUGGAAAGUUUCGGCGGUUGGGGAUGGACUCGCGGCUUAUCAGCUUGUUGGUGGGGUAGUGGCUUACCAAGGCUUUGACGGGUAGCCGGCCUGAGAGGGUGACCGGCCACCUUGGGACUGCGAUACGGCCCAGACUCCUACGGGAGGCAGCAGUGGGGAAUAUUGCACAAUGGGCGGAAGCCUGAUGCAGCAACGCCGCGUGCGGGAUGACGGCCUUCGGGUUGUAAACCGCUUUCGCCUGUGACGAAGCGUGAGUGACGGUAAUGGGUAAAGAAGCACCGGCUAACUACGUG
rnacentral:rRNA from 1 species